rnacentral:ncRNA from 1 species
UGAUGCCCGUCGAGAAAGAACUAGCCAUUCACUCGUAGCGAGUCUUGGAGGGCUAAAGGUAACUUUAGCCUUUAAGCGUAGACAGUGAGAUAGCGGGCCGAAAGCCAAAUGGUUGAAGGGAUUGAGCUUCGAAAUGUUAGUAAAUCGAGAGGGCUGAUGCUUUACGCAUAGCAGAAGGCUACAUUUUACCUUUCGUUAAGGCAAGAAGGGUAAAGGCUCUCCGGAGUCAGAGACCU